AUGAGGAAAAGCUUCCACAUUGACAGCAACAGUUGUGUUCUCUGUGAGGGUGAACCCAAUGAACAUCUUCUCCACUUAUUUUUCAGGUGUGACUUUAGCCAAAUUUUUUGGCUUGCCAUUGGAUUCCAAUGGAACACAGACCUUGAUCUUGCUGAUAUUCUUAUGGAUGGUAAGAAGAAGAAUAAUGUAUGUUGUUUCAAAGAAUGUUUAAUUGCAGGAUGCUGGAGCCUUUGGAAGCAUAGAAACAACAUCAUAUUUGAUUAUCAUGACAGAAGCAUCACCCACUGUAUUGCUAGUUUCAAGGAGCACUGCCAUAUGAUCAUCAAAAAGGCUAGAACUAGCUUGAAAGAGGGGAUGCAAUCAUGGCUAGAUUGUUUGUAA
rnacentral:rRNA from 1 species